GCCCGGGUAGCUCAGUUGGUAGAGCACGUGACUGAAAAUCACGGUGUCGGCGGUUCGAAUCCGUCCCCGGGCACCA
rnacentral:tRNA from 1 species